UACGUAGGGGGCAAGCGUUAUCCGGGUUUACUGGGUGUAAAGGGUGCGUAGACGGUCAGACAAGUCUGAAGUGAAAUGCAUGGGCUAAACUCAUGAACUGCUUUGGAAACUGCCUGACUAGAGUACAGGAGGGGUAAGCGGAAUUCCUGGUGUAGCGGUGAAACGCUUAGAUAUCAGGAGGAACACCGGCGGCGAAGGCGGCUUACUGGACUGUAACUGACGUUGAGGCACGAAAGCGUGGGAGCAAACA
rnacentral:rRNA from 1 species